GAUGAACGCUGGCGGCGUGCUUAACACAUGCAAGUCGAACGAAGCACUUUAUUUGAUUUCCUUCGGGACUGAUUAUUUUGUGACUGAGUGGCGGACGGGUGAGUAACGCGUGGGUAACCUGCCUUGUACAGGGGGAUAACAGUUGGAAACGGCAGCUAAUACCGCAUAAGCUCACGGCAUCGCAUGCUGCAGUGUGAAAAACUCCGGUGGUAUAGGAUGGACCCGCGUUGGAUUAGCUAGUUGGUGAGGUAACGGCCCACCAAGGCGACGAUCCAUAGCCGACCUGGGAGAGUGGCCGGCCACAUUGGGACUGAGACACGGCCGGAACUCCUACGGGAGGCAGCAGUGGGGAAUAUUGCACAAUGGGCGAAAGCAUGAUGCAGCGACGCCGCGAGAGCGAAGAAGUAUUUCGGUAUGUAAAGCUCUAUCAGCAGGGAAGAUAGUGACGGUACCUGACUAAGAAGCACCGGCUAAAUACGUG
rnacentral:rRNA from 1 species